GUUCAUGUAGCCUGCCUGCUCUAUACUGCAGUCCGAGCGAAUGGAUUAAGAGCUUGCUCCUUAUGAAGUUAGCGGCGGACGGGUGAGUAACACGUGGGUAACCUGCCCAUAAGACUGGGAUAACUCCGGGAAACCGGGGCUAAUACCGGAUAACAUUUUGAACCGCAUGGUUCGAAAUUGAAAGGCGGCUUCGGCUGUCACUUAUGGAUGGACCCGCGUCGCAUUAGCUAGUUGGUGAGGUAACGGCUCACCAAGGCAACGAUGCGUAGCCGACCUGAGAGGGUGAUCGGCCACACUGGGACUGAGACACGGCCCAGACUCCUACGGGAGGCAGCAGUAGGGAAUCUUCCGCAAUGGACGAAAGUCUGACGGAGCAACGCCGCGUGAGUGAUGAAGGCUUUCGGGUCGUAAAACUCUGUUGUUAGGGAAGAACAAGUGCUAGUUGAAUAAGCUGGCACCUUGACGGUACCUAACCAGAAAGCCACGGCUAACUACGUGCCAGCAGCCGCGGUAAUACGUAGGUGGCAAGCGUUAUCCGGAAUUAUUGGGCGUAAAGCGCGCGCAGGUGGUUUCUUAAGUCUGAUGUGAAAGCCCACGGCUCAACCGUGGAGGGUCAUUGGAAACUGGGAGACUUGAGUGCAGAAGAGGAGAGUGGAAUUCCAUGUGUAGCGGUGAAAUGCGUAGAGAUAUGGAGGAACACCAGUGGCGAAGGCGACUUUCUGGUCUGUAACUGACGCUGAGGCGCGAAAGCGUGAGGGAGCAAACAAGAUUAGAUACCCUGGUAGUCCACACCGUAAACGAUGAUUGCUGGCUGUUAGAGGAUUGCCUCCCUCUCUUGCUGGAGUUAAUUCACUAAUUACUCAACCCCGCCAGUGGAGAGAGGCGGCGGAGUCUCAAAUGAAAUGAUAUAGACCGGGCGCCCGCAUCUUCAGCAGAACAAUGUGGUCUGAAUUCGCACGCGCCGCGAAUAAACUUACCG
rnacentral:rRNA from 1 species